GGGGGAAUAGCUCAGCUGGGAGAGCAGUAGACUGAAGUUUCUCAGUAUGUUCUAAAGGUCCCUGGUUCGAUCCCGGGUUUCCCCA